CAACUGAUUAAUCAAAAACUCAGAUACAUGUUCAGUGAAUUGUUCAAAUGGAAACAAUGUGGCAUUAUUGAGAGCUCACUAGAACAAAAUAGGUAAUUGUAUGAUCAACAAGGAAUUCCAAGCAUGUCUACACAUGGUACAGAAUCAAGUAUUCUGUUCCAAAAAGCACAACGCUAUUGACAUUUUCAAGUGGUGACAUCUACUCUGUAAAUGAGUUCAUCAUGGUCUCCUUCAGGGCAGAUAAAUCCUAUGAGAAGGGGUGUACGAGCACCUGUUAACUUCAGAAAAAACUAUAUAUAUAUAUAUGAGUAUAUACCUUGAAGAAUUAUCAUGUACUUUAAAAGGACCCUUCAAACAUAUCUAGCUCAUUGGGGCAUCUGGUCGCCAUGCCCCUAGGUUGUUUUUUCUUUGCUUAGGCUAUCAUAUAAUUUUGAUGUUAUUAUUGUCCUUUUUCUGAAUGUGAUGUAAUGAUUUCUUUAUUAUAUCAUAUUAUAUGCUAUAUCUGCUUUACUUCUAUAUUGCUUUGGUAUAUGUUACAUAUAUCCAAUGAUUGUGUUAUCUUGCACACAAUCACAUAACUCCAUACAAACUAACAUAAAUAUCAUAAGUGAUAAUGAACACCAAAUUCACACCAUCAAUGCUAUCUACACCAGACUAGUCCACUUUAUUGGAAUUGCCCAUAUCUUAUCAAGCCGAACACCAACCUUUUCUUACUCCAAAUACAUGAAUCAACCACAUGAUCCUCAUUUCUAUGUAUCCAGUCCAUGACAGCCAAGUGCAGUCAAUAACUAAUGAGUAGUUGUAAUGCUUCCACCCUUCACUAAUAGCCUCUCUAACACCACCACCACCCACCACCACCCCGCGCAACUACUGUAACGGGAAUAUGGCAACAUUAAUGAGGUGCAUAAGUUAUACCCAACAGAAAUAUUGUCACUCAAGUACACUUUCUACCAUUACCAUUAACCACCAUGAGUCUCACCAACUCAUAUCAUACCCUAUCAAGCCAGACCCUUCAACUUUCAUACAAGGCUGCUAAACUCACUUUCUUGAUAUUAAGCCAUACCUUCAUCAUCUAAUACUUCACAAUUGUUAAUAUUCAUUUACAAAUACAGCCAAACCAAAACAUACAACAACAACAACAACAACAAACCCAGUGUAUUCCCACCUAGUGGAGUCUGGGGGGUAAGAUGUACGCAGUCCAUACCUCUACCUCUGAUGAAGUAGAAAGGCUGUUUCCGAUAGACCCCCGGCUCAAGACACGAGAUACCAUACAAACACAUACUAAAGCACAGAAGCAGAUUACAUAACAUAAAUACGGCACCCAUAAGUAAUAUAAAACAGAGGAAUAACAUAUAGAAAAAUAGAAAAAAGUAGUAGAGUCAAAGGGAUUUAGCAAAGCAAUUCUACCUAAAUGCACCAACUAAAGCUAAAUGUCUCAAAUUUUCAGCUUAAUUCUAAUCAUAACCAACUCAAACAAGGACGGAGCAAGGUAGGGCCAAGGAGUUGACCCCCGUGUUCCAAAAAAUACACUAUUUUUACAUGGUUAAACUUAAAAUCUCCCUAGUAAAAAUCUUGACUACAUAAAAAAUGAGGAAGGGAGAUAACAAGCCAAUACAAAAUGAACAAAAAAGUAAAAGCAUGACGACAGUAUCAAAUUAUUAGUAGAAGAAGACGACAAAUAGUUCGAGGAAUAUGAAACUUACGUUGUUUUUUUCAGUCAAUUUCAACUUAAACCAGACCAAUUUUCAAGUUUGCAUGUGGCUGAUGCUUUGGGUACUGUGGCGAAGGAAGAAAAAACUAUCCAAGAAAGGGAAUCCGUGUGUGAUUUUACAGCGAGAGAAAGGGAAAAUAAGAAUUAUCCCUUCUUUAACUCGUCAAUUUCCAAUCUUGAAACUCAAAAUCAAGAAUCUAGUUUCUGAAAAAAGGAUAUAAAGUUUUGAACUUUUGGGCAAUAAUUGAGAAGCAAAAAGAUCCAAUUUUUAGCAGAAGACAAAGAAAGCAACAAAAAUGGAUCAUAUGAAAGCAUCUAAAAACUGGUAAAACGGAUGAUAAAGAAAGCAACAAAAAUUUCAAGAAUUAAAAUAAAAUCUUACCAUAUGAAUCAAAGGGAUUAUUGAUCAUGACCCACACCAAGAAAUCAACUGAUCAAAUCAAGAAAAACACACAGAGUGAAUAGAUCGGAGGAAUCUAAUUCCAUUUUCUGUGAUGAUUUCGGGGGGUGGUUUUGAGGUCAAGCCAGCAAGUAAAAUCUGCAAUUUUACACCUAUCCCAGUAAUAAAUUGCCUCUAGUUGUUCUAAGAAUUGAUAAACAAAACCCUAGCUGUGCGAUUUCAAUUCCACACUAAAAUAUCACGGAUGAGAAUAAACCCUAUACAACAUUUCAGAUGAAUGAUAUUAUGUUUUACGACUUUUUUUUAAUUAGAAAUUAGAGGGAACAGAAUAUAUUGGAGGUAACAUAAUAUUUUUAUAUUAAAAUUAUUGGAGGGAAUACCAUAUUUUUAUGUAAAUUUUUUAAAAUUUAUAAGAACACUUAUAAAUUAUUGUUUUAAAAUAAUAAAAAUAGACACAUUCUAAAAUUGUAAC
rnacentral:lncRNA from 1 species